rnacentral:rRNA from 1 species
GAGCGAAGCUUUUCAGUAGUUUACUACAGAAAAUGACUGAGCGGCGAAGGGUGAGUAACGCGUGAGCAACCUACCUUAGUUACUGGGAUAGCCCGAGGAAACUCGGAUUAAUACCGGAUAUUCUUAUUUAAUCACAUGAUUUUUUAAGGAAAGGUCAGCCGAACUAAGAUGGGCUCGCGUCCUAUCAGCUAGUUGGUAGGGUAAUGGCCUACCAAGGCUACGACGGAUAGCUGGUCUGAGAGGACGAUCAGCCACACUGGGACUGAGACACGGCCCAGACUCCUACGGGAGGCUGCAGCAGGGAAUAUUGCGCAAUGAGCGAAAGCUUGACGCAGCGACACCGCGUGUGGGAUGACGGAUCUAGGUUUGUAAACCACUUUCAGGAGGGAAGAAAAUGACGGUACCUCCACAAGAAGCCCCGGCCAACUACGUGCCAGCAGCCGCGGUAAUACGUAGGGGGCGAGCGUUGUCCGGAUUUAUUGGGCGUAAAGAGCUCGUAGGCGGUUCAACAAGUCGGUCGUGAAAGUUCAGGGCUCAACCCUGAAAUGUCGAUCGAUACUGUUGUGACUAGGAUACGGUAGAGGUGAGUGGAAUUCCGAGUGUAGCGGUGAAAUGCGUAGAUAUUCGGAGGAACACCAAUUGCGAAGGCAGCUCACUGGGCCGCUAUCGACGCUGAGGAGCGAAAGCUAG